CCUACGGGGGGCAGCAGUGAGGAAUAUUGGUCAAUGGCCGAGAGUCUGAACCAGCCAAGUCGCGUGAGGGAUGACGGCCCUACGGGUUGUAAACCUCUUUUGUCGGGGAGUAAAGAGAGUCACGUGUGGCUCAUUGAGAGUACCCGAAGAAAAAGCAUCGGCUAACUCCGUGCCAGCAGCCGCGGUAAUACGGAGGAUGCGAGCGUUGUCCGGAAUCAUUGGGCGUAAAGGGUUCGUAGGCGGCAUGUUAAGUCAGGUGUUAAAGGCGCAGGCUCAACCUGUGUAUGGCACUUGAUACUGGCAAGCUGGAAUGCAGUAGAGGUAAGGGGAAUUCCUGGUGUAGCGGUGAAAUGCUUAGAUAUCAGGAGGAACAUCGGUGGCGUAAGCGCUUUACUAGGCCGUAAUUGACGCUGAGGAACGAAAGCCAGGGUAGCAAAUGGGAUUAGAUACCCUAGUAGUC
rnacentral:rRNA from 1 species